UACGUAGGGCGCAAGCGUUGUCCGGAAUUAUUGGGCGUAAAGAGCUCGUAGGUGGCUUGUUGCGUCUGCCGUGAAAGCCCGUGGCUUAACUACGGGUCUGCGGUGGAUACGGGCAGGCUAGAGGCUGGUAGGGGCAAGCGGAAUUCCUGGUGUAGCGGUGAAAUGCGCAGAUAUCAGGAGGAACACCGGUGGCGAAGGCGGCUUGCUGGGCCAGUUCUGACGCUGCGGAGCGAAAGCGUGGGGAGCGAACAGG
rnacentral:rRNA from 1 species